GGCCUCACGGCCGUCGGCGUUGCUGGGAAGUUGACCAAACUUGAUCAUUUAGAGGAAGUAAAAGUCGUAACAAGGUUUCCGUAGGGGAACCUGCGGAAGGAUCAUUAACGUUUUU
rnacentral:rRNA from 1 species